rnacentral:lncRNA from 1 species
AAACCAGCGGCCCAAAAUACGAUUUUAAGACCUAUGGUGCUCGGUUGUCAGAACUCUGGCAACCGAACGCCGUAGGUCUUGUAAUUGUAUCUUGCACCG